rnacentral:rRNA from 1 species
AUUGAACGCUGGCGGAAUGCUUUACACAUGCAAGUCGAACGGCAGCACGGACUUCGGUCUGGUGGCGAGUGGCGAACGGGUGAGUAACAUAUCGGAACGUAUCCAAUAAUGGGGGAUAACUAAUCGAAAGGUUGGCUAAUACCGCAUACGCCCUACGGGGGAAAGCAGGGGAUCUACGGACCUUGCGUUAAUGGAGCGGCUGAUAUCUGAUUAGCUAGUUGGUGAGGUAAAGGCUCACCAAGGCGACGAUCAGUAGCUGGUCUGAGAGGACGACCAGCCACACUGGAACUGAGACACGGUCCAGACUCCUACGGGAGGCAGCAGUGGGGAAUUUUGGACAAUGGGCGCAAGCCUGAUCCAGCCAUUCCGCGUGAGUGAAGAAGGCCUUCGGGUUGUAAAGCUCUUUCGCAAGGGAAGAAAACUUACCUUCUAAUAAAGAGUGAGGUUGACGGUACCUUGAUAAGAAGCACCGGCUAACUACGUGCCAGCCGCCGCAGUAA